ensembl:snRNA
GUGUUACGGAGAGAAGAUUAACAUUCCCCUUGGAAGGAGUGAAAGAGGCUCUCAGGCCUGACAACAUGCAUAUGGUUAAGGCCUCAUGCAUCUACUUCAUGGCAUCUAAGCACCAUUUUUU